UACAGGGAUAUGAUGUCGGAGACCUGCAGGAACCUGCUGCCCCUGGGGUGGGAUUCCACUGGAUGCUCUGUUCUCAGUCCAUAUUGAUCAGAGCUGAUGCCUCCGGACUCCAGUCCCCGGACCUUGCCCAGUUCCCUCCCCACUGGAUGUUCUUGGAAGACCUACUCACAGAAUGAGAACACACUGGCUGCUCUUUGAUUCCAUCUGGCACCUCAGAAUCUGCGUGAUUCUGUCUGCUUGUUUACAUCCCUCAGCCUUUUUUCUGCUUCAGCCAGUCCUUUGGAUCCUCUGUGAGAGUUACUUAGAAAGACUGUCAGGACAGUCAACAGAGAGAUCUUCUUUCUCAUCCCCAGUCCCACAUGGUGAGAAUAUAUGUCUUCAUGCUCUGCGCUUGGCACCUGUGGGUAGAGUUCAUGGUUCCAUGUGGAUAGUCUAUAAGCUCUGACCUCCAUAUCAUGCAUUUUUUCCCCCUGUAGUACUGGUCUACCUAGUCAGGGAAUGUAUACUCUUCCUGAUUUCAUAUUCUCCUAAAUUUGCAUGAUUAUCCCUCUGAAACGUGCUUUUGAAAUAACAUACUCAUAGGGUCUGAAAUGUUACCCAGUUUCUUUGCUGUGAUAAUCCAACAUGAAUUAAAGGACAGCUUCUGGUGGACUCUACGGGGUGGGUUUACUGGGUAACAAUGUUUCAUGGAGAGUACUUUCUGUCAUAUGUUGUAAUAUGUAUAUAUAUUUUUUAUUUUACUUUUGGGGUAAUUAGGUUUGUUUGUUUGUUUGUUUAUUUAUUUAUUUAUUUUUGGAGGAGGUACUGGGGACUGAACUAAGGACCUCCUGCAUGCUGAGCGUGUGCUCCACCAGCUGAGCUCUACCCUCCCCCUCCACUAAGCUGGCCCCUCCCCACCGUUGUAAUAUUGUCCUACUGUGUACAGAAUCACUCCCUGAAGCUACUAGGUAGAGUGGUCAUUUGUUCUAAGAUUGGAGAAACAAACUAUCAUGAGAGACUGACCUGUGAGUCUUUCCAGUUUUAUUUUCCAGUUUUUGAGGCAUGUCACAAAAGCCUGUCUCAAGGGCAUUGUGACAGUGUUGCUUACAUACACUAAUGACCAUCCCUUUUGAGCCUCAGUAAAUGGUGUAGGAAUUUCUCCUAGGAACAACAUGGUCCAACUUCUCAUCCUCAUAUCUGUAGGGCUGUUGACUAAAUUAUUAAUGACA